CGAGAGGUUGCGCGGGCGGACGCCUCGCCAACCCGGUCAGGUCCGGAAGGAAGCAGCCGUAACGAGUCCCGUCCGGGUCGUGUCAGCCUCUCACCC
rnacentral:SRP_RNA from 1 species